AGAGUUUGAUCAUGGCUCAGGAUGAACGCUAGCUACAGGCUUAACACAUGCAAGUCGAGGGGAAACGACAUCGAAAGCUUGCUUUUGAUGGGCGUCGACCGGCGCACGGGUGAGUAACGCGUAUCCAACCUGCCCACCACUUGGGGAUAACCUUGCGAAAGUAAGACUAAUACCCAAUGACGUCUCUAGAAGACAUCUGAAAGAGAUUAAAGAUUUAUCGGUGAUGGAUGGGGAUGCGUCUGAUUAGCUUGGUUGGCGGGGUAACGGCCACCGAGGCGACGAUCAGUAGGGGUUCUGAGAGGAACGGUCCCCACAUUGGACUGAGACACGGUCCAACUCCUACGGGAGGCA
rnacentral:rRNA from 1 species